rnacentral:rRNA from 1 species
AGGGAAGAAGCGAAAGUGACGGUACCUGCAGAAGAAGCGCCGGCUAACUACGUGCCAGCAGCCGCGGUAAUACGUAGGGCGCAAGCGUUAUCCGGAAUUAUUGGGCGUAAAGAGCUCGUAGGCGGUUUGUCGCGUCUGCCGUGAAAGUCCGGGGCUCAACUCCGGAUCUGCGGUGGGUACGGGCAGGCUAGAGUGAUGUAGGGGAGACUGGAAUUCCUGGUGUAGCGGUGAAAUGCGCAGAUAUCAGGAGGAACACCGAUGGCGAAGGCAGGUCUCUGGGCAUUAACUGACGCUGAGGAGCGAAAGCAUGGGGAGCGAACAGGAUUAGAUACCCUGGUAGUCCAUGCCGUAAACGUUGGGCACUAGGUGUGGGGGACAUUCCACGUUUUCCGCGCCGUAGCUAACGCAUUAAGUGCCCCGCCUGGGGAGUACGGCCGCAAGGCUAAAACUCAAAGGAAUUGACGGGGGCCCGCACAAGCGGCGGAGCAUGCGGAUUAAUUCGAUGCAACGCGAAGAACCUUACCAAGGCUUGACAUGGACCGGACCGCCGCAGAGAUGUGGUUUCUCCUUUUGGGGCCGGUUCACAGGUGGUGCAUGGUUGUCGUCAGCUCGUGUCGUGA